rnacentral:rRNA from 1 species
CCUACGGGUGGCAGCAGUGGGGAAUAUUGCACAAUGGAGGAAACCCUGAUCCAGCGACGCCGCGUGAGUGAAGAAGUAAUUAGUUAUGGUAAGCUCUUUCAGCAAGGAAGAAAAUGACGGUACGUGUGUAAUAAGCCCCGGCGAACUACGUGCCAGCUGCCGCGGUACUACGGAGGGGGAAAGCGUAAUCCGGAUUUACUGGGUGUAAAGGGAACGUAGUGGGAAGGUCAAGUCUGGAGGGAAAGGCUGGGGCUCAAUCGCCGGACUGCACUUGAAACUGUACGUCUGGAGUACAGGAGAGGUGAGUGGAAUUCGUGGUGUAGCGGUGAAAUGCGUAGAUAUUAGGAGGAACACCAGUGGCGAAGGCGGCUUACUGGACUGUAACUGACGUUGAGGCUCGAAAGCGUGGGGAGCAAACAGGAUUAGAUACCCCAGUAGUC